GCUACACAAAUCGGUACAGAAAUAAGAAAGGCGACAUUUUUAUGGCUUAAUUGCAUGAAUAAGGUAGGAAAAGAGAAGAAAUAGAAGUUUUGCUUAAAAGUUCGAAAUCUUCUGAGUUAGAAUUGAGAUAAAAGGGGAACCUUGCAUCCAAGGGAGCAGAAACGGAAGGAAUCAAGGAGACCCCUGCUGCAAAUCUCACAGGUUUGAACGCAGGAAAUGUCUAUAAAUUUCGAUACUUCCGAUACCCUGAUAACGUUGUGGUACGAAGAUCUUCGAAUCUGAAGCAAAGAUCGAAUUUUGCACCUAGAAUUUAACAUCAAAACAGAGGAUGAAGAAGACGGAGAAACAGAGAUAGAGAAGGGUACGAAGAAGUUGGACUUCAAAAGAGGCUUUAGCCAUGGCGGUCCCCUAUCUUCAUCCCCCAUUUCCAUCAUCGGACCAACCUAUUAAGAUCGAGAUAAACUAAUAUAAGCAUGAAAGCCAGCGCGUCCACCUGAGAGAAAAACAGUGCAGAACACAAAAUUUCAUUGAUUUUUCCGGGAACCAGAGAUCGAAUCGACGAUAGGAAAAUAAAAAUGGAUUAUUCUGAGGAUCUAAUGCUACCUUUUGGGAAGAAUCUGAGGAGUGGAGCACAGAAGAACGCCUACAGAACAGAUGCCUCCGAGACGAAGAAAGCAGGCAGAAGAGUCGUAAGCAGCAGAGACAAGGAAGAAGCGAAGCUAAAAGACGGUUAAAGGCUUCUUAGAAAUUUUAUAAGGCGGUUAGUAAAGAAGACGAAACGAACGGAGAGUUUUUCACCAGGGAAAUCAUCAACGGUGAUUGUCCGUCCGAUUUUCUAUCUGCAACACAUGAGCGGUCAGAUGGUUUAUCUUUGUUUUAUAUAACUAUAGAAAUAAAAUGUCGGAAUUUUCUAAA